GACAGAGGGGGCAAGCGUUGUCCGGAAUUACUGGGCGUACAGGGCACGCAGGUGGCUGCAUAGGUGGCGUGUGAAAGCCCCGCGCUUAACGCGGGGAGGCCACGCCAAACGGUGCGGCUCGAGCGAUGCAGAGGGUGGUGGAAUUGCCGGAGUAGUGGUGAAAUGCGUAGAGAUCGGCAGGAACACCAAGGACGAAGGUAACCACCUGGGCAUCAGCUGACACUCAUGUGCGACAGCGUGGGGAGCGAACCGG
rnacentral:rRNA from 1 species